AUGGUAGGACCUGGAAGAACAUGGAAGAGGAACACAAAGCUCCCUCAUCUGAUAUAAAGCUCCAGAAGGAUAUUUCUCACAUUAUUGAAUGUGCUUGUGGAGCUGAAUACAAGGUAGGAUUGGAGCUUUGUGCAUAACAAGAUGCCAAACAAUUGCAUGAUCUAGGAACAACAAGCACUAGUUGCUUUAAACAUCAACAAACUAAGUCUCUGAAAUUGUAAAUGGUUGCCUUGGCCCAGUAAUCUUUGUCAGUGCUGACUCCUGCAACCAAGCCUUUCUCAAGUGCUUGCAGUUCAUUGACUCCGUGAGCCACCAGAGCUGCAGAGAUAUCAUGAGCUUCAUAAUUCUCCUCUACAAUGGCAAUGCUAUGGGAUCAUGCAUGUCUUACCUCUUCAAACUAUCUACACCGCUAUAAGAAGCUUUUCACUACUUCACUUCAUCCUCCGACAUUCAAAUGUUUUUUGGAAUAGGUUGUGGAUUCAUUUGAUUGAUGGGGUACGUUUCUGAGAAAAUGGGUGUAAAGGCUUUGUGGUUCAACAACAUCCAAUUUGUUUGGGCUCAUGAGCCCUUAGUGAGCUUUCAUUUGCCUUUGCCAAAGUGGCUUUCAUAACCCUGCUUGUCCAAGGCAAAACCUAACAUCAAAUAAAGGCAUGAAUAUGGAACAUUUCUUACA